UCGCUUCCAUGUUUUGCAAAUAGUUGAGUCGUAUAAACUACAUCUUCAAUCGUUAAACUUGGGUUGUGUCUCUAUGCUUGGAAUAUUAGGGAGUUUCGCGCCUUCCAAAUCCGCCAAACAAGUUUUGCAAAAUCCGCUUUGGACUGUGGAGUCAUUCUCAUGUUGUAGUUCUCCCAUACCCAUUUGUCCAUUCGAUUGCAAAUCCCUUGGGAUAAAUCGGCUCUGAUCCUCUGGUCUGACUAGAUUUCUUUUGUCUAGGGCACAUGAUGAAGA
rnacentral:lncRNA from 1 species